GUACGCGCGUUGUUAGCAACUUGUACUGUGAAACUGCGAAUGGCUCAUUAAAUCAGUUAUCGUUUAUUUGAUAGUACCUUACUACAUGGAUACCUGUGGUAAUUCUAAAGCUAAUACAUGCUAAAAACCCCGACUUCAGGAAGGGGUGUAUUUAUUAGAUAAAAAACCAACGCCCUUCGGGGCUCCUUGGUGAAUCAUAAUAACUUAACGAAUCGCAUGGCCUUGCGCCGGCGAUGGUUCAUUCAAAUUUCUGCCCUAUCAACUUUCGAUGGUAGGAUAGUGGCCUACCAUGGUGGCAACGGGUAACGGGGAAUUAGGGUUCGAUUCCGGAGAGGGAGCCUGAAAAACGGCUACCACAUCCAAGGAAGGCAGCAGGCGCGCAAAUUACCCAAUCCCGAUACGGGGAGGUAGUGACAAUAAAUACUGAUACGGGGCUCUUUUGGGUCUCGUAAUUGGAAUGAGAACAAUUUAAAUCCCUUAACGAGGAACAAUUGGAGGGCAAGUCUGGUGCCAGCAGCCGCGGUAAUUCCAGCUCCAAUAGCGUAUAUUAAAGUUGUUGCAGUUAAAAAGCUCGUAGUUGAACCUUGGGUCUGGCUGGCCGGUCCGCCUCACCGCGAGUACUGGUCCGGCUGGACCUUUCCUUCUGGGAGAACCUCAUGGUCUUCACUGGGGUGUGGGGGGGAACCAGGA
rnacentral:rRNA from 1 species